CGGCGACGGGAGGGUGCGGGGGGCAAGGAGGAACUGUAGGUGGGCGGGGUCACCGUGGUCGCGGGAACGCGGCAGGUGGGCUAGAGCAUCCCGCAGGGGAAGCCCAGGAGGCCGGGUCGGGGUGCGGGGCGCCGCACGUGGGGCACCGGGUCACUGGCGGUUGUGGGGCCCGAACCGUCGCCGAGGCGCGCGCCCGUUCCCACAGGGUUCCUGCCCGGGUGGCUCUCGGGGCCCGGGCUCCCCAGCCUCUCCUCCCGCCUCCGGAUCGUCUAGUCGGUGGGCGUCGCCUGCUGGCGAGGAUAAGCGCGGGCUCCGUCCCCACAGUGGCUCUGGCCGCAAGACGAGGAGGCGGACUGGGGUCGUUGGAGGACGCGCGGGGACUCUGGCCACCGCUGGCGCCGGGCUGGGCGCUGGAAGGGAAGGGACGGGGGAAGGGCAGGAAGGUCCUGGCGAGGCGAUAAGACCCAAGCCGCGGUGUCCGGGGUCGCCGGCCGGAUGUUCGCUGCCCCGCCGGGCACUCCCGGACCGAUGCGCUAGUGUCUGGUCCGCUGGGUGAUGGAUGAACAGGGAGCUUGGUCCCUGUCGGUUCCUGCCGCAGGUGCAGACGGAUGCGCAGUCUUUCGGAGCGCACAGCGCUGAGCUUGGGGCACAGAGCCCAUCUUCAUCGAUGCUGACUUCAAGAGCACAGUCCCUGGAGGGCCCAUCGGAGGGCAGACCAGAGUCACCCUGCGGAACAAGCACCUGCAGUACAUCAUCGCCCGGUAGGGACUCUGCGGCCACAUCAUACCUCUGGUGCAAGAAGUUCCUAAGUCGGACUCCUGGUGUGUGAGGAGGGACUUCCACUUGAAUAAACUGCUCUAGAUGUCCUGGGUUGACACUGGCUGUUGGCAAUGAAGAAUCUGGUGCUAAGGAAUGUAGAACAUCGUGCUAAUAUCCCCCUGCACAGAACCUGGGGUUUAGGAAGAUGGUUUUAGACUGAGACUGUUGUGUUAUAUAAGUAUACUGUGUUCUUUUUUUUUUUUUAAAGAGAACUUUCUAUUUUGUACUGGGGUAUAGCCAAUUAACAAUGUUGUAAUAAUUCCAGGUGAACAGGGAAGAGACUCAGCCACACAUACACAUGUAUCUGUUCUUUUCCAAACUCCCCUCCCAUCCAGGCUGCCACAUAACACCAAGCAGGUUUCCCUGUGGUACACGGCAGGUCCGUGUUGGUUACCCAUGUAAAAUACAGCCGUGUGUACAUGCUGUAUUGCUACUUAGCCCUGUUUCUCUGGGCCUAAUGAAGGCAGUAUUUGCCUUGGAGAGACAUGAAUUAAUUAUGGCUCUGAGUCCUCUGAGGAGUCUCUUUUAAGAUGAUGCUGAGUCAUGAUGAAUACCUCUUGGAGUUGAGCUCUCCUUCUGAACCCGAAGUUCCCAUGUUUAUAGAAAAAUUGAAUCAUUACAUAUUAAAAUGGGAAGAGGGGAAAGAUUCCUAAAAGAAAGACUUGGCUUUACUACACAGAGAGAACACCCCAAGGCUUAGGAACAAUUAAUCUAAUAGUUACAGGAGUGAUUGGGUUCUGAUGUGAUCAUUGAAAACAUUGGGAAUUUUGUGAUUUAUUAAUUGCAAGUUUUUUAACUUUUUUAGAAGGGGAAGCUAAGAAUGUCCACACUGAAAAGUCUCAUUCUCAGCUUCACCUCUCUUAGUCACAGGGACCAAAUGGAAUUCUGAGUUAUAUACAAAGGACUGGUUUUCCUAAUCCUUGGAGGAAAGGGUCAUUUUGACUCACUUGAUGCUUCCAGGUUCCUCAAAUUCUCUUAUCAAAACAAAUAAAGCUGUUUUAAAAUUGCCCAGUAACAAAGAGGAACUUACAACUACAACUCUUUAUUGUGUCUUAUUUUUUUCUACUCUGUGGAACAAGAAUUAAUGCCUCAUACAUUUGACAAGGGCUCCACGUUGUGCUGGCGUUGCUGUGCCCUAUCUUGGCUUUCUUUGCCCACUGAAGCUGAAUAAAAAAAUUAUGGAAACAGAGUUUGGAGGAAAGAAAAAGAAAAAAUGGUCAUGGGCUGAUGUCAGGUAGCCCAGUAACUGGGUCCAUUGACUUUUGUGUAUGGUAC
ensembl:lncRNA